GUGCUUGCUUCAGCAGCACAUAUACUAAAAUCGGAAAGACACAGAGAAGACUAGCAUGGCCCCUGAGCAAGAGUGUUUAAUAACUUUACCAAGACUAUGUAGUUAGU